rnacentral:rRNA from 1 species
UACGAAGGGGGCUAGCGUUGUUCGGAAUUACUGGGCGUAAAGGGCGCGUAGGCGGUGUGUCAAGUCACUUGUGAAAUCUCCGGGCUUAACUCGGAACGGUCAAGUGAUACUGUCGGACUAGAGUACAGAAGGGGCAACUGGAAUUCUCGGUGUAGCGGUGAAAUGCGUAGAUAUCGAGAGGAACACCUGCGGCGAAGGCGGGUUGCUGGGCUGAUACUGACGCUGAGGCGCGAAAGCCAGGGGAGCGAACAGG